AUGCCGGAGGACGUCGAAAUGAACGACUUUGCCCAGCCCGCCCUCGCUGCCGCUCCUUUGGCCACCGACGCGCCCGCGCCCGCUCUCUCCACCCUGCAGCAUUUGAAGGAGAUCACGUCCGUGGUCGAGGCGGGGUCGCUGAUCAAGGAGAUCCGUCAGAUCUCCCAUGUCGUUCGCCUCACCAUUGCCCUCCGCCGCCGCCUCGCCGCCACCGACGUCGCGACCUUCCUCGCCUUCGCGCUGCCCCCUUCCUCUGAGGCCUUCACCCGCCUCUCCCAGCUCCUCCCCAAGUCCGAUGGAGACGAGGGUGUGUUACCGAAGUUCCUUCCCUUUGAGAGGAAGUACAUCUCCGUUGGAGUUGUGUGGAGGCACAAUGCUACCCAAGAAGCCACUAUGGCCACCGUAUUAUCCUCACACACGGAUGAACGGUCGGUGCUCUAA
rnacentral:rRNA from 1 species